UACGGAGGAUGCAAGCGUUAUCCGGAAUGAUUGGGCGUAAAGCGUCCGCAGGUGGCUGUGUAAGUCUGCUGUCAAAGAGCGAAGCUCAACUUCGUAAAGGCAGUGGAAACUGAUAGACUGGAGUGCGGUAGGGGCAGAGGGAAUUCCCAGUGUAGCGGUGAAAUGCGUAGAUAUUGGGAAGAACACCGGUGGCGAAAGCGCUCUGCUGGACCUGCACUGACACUGAGGGACGAAAGCUAGGGGAGCGAAAGGG
rnacentral:rRNA from 1 species